UUGGAGUUGUAAGCUGUAGAGUUUCUCAAAAAGAAAGACUUCGUACAAUCGUCUGGAAGGGCGAGGCAAAGAGGGUGACACCCCCGUACAUGACGAAAGUCUAACUGACUGAGAGAUUUCUGAGAGUCGGGUUGUUUGGGACUGCAGCCCUAAAUGGGAGAUAAACUUCUUCUAAAGCUAAAUAUUGGUGGGAGACCGAUAGCGAACAAGUACUGCGAAGGAAAGAUGAAAAGCACUUUGAAAAGAGGGUGAAAAGACUUGAAAUCGUUGGAAAGGAAGCGGUAGCAGCCAGUUAGCAGAUGUGACGUUUGUUCUCGAUUAGUUCAAUUCAGAGGUUUAGACACGUAAAAGGUCGGACAGUUGAAUCUGGGCGGUCAGGGGCUUUUUCGCAUCAAAGGGUAAAAUGAGGUAUAGUUGCUGAAAGAAAUCUGAGAAAGACCCUGCAAAGGAGCCUCAGAUGAGGGCAGCAACCAUGCCUGAGGGACCGGAAGGUGAUUUUACCGAAACGACUGCAACCGGCCCGUCUUGAAACACGGACCAAGGAGUCUAUCACUCAUGCGAGUCUGCGGGUGAAAAACCCAUAGGCGUAACGAAAGUGAGUUUAAGGUACGAAGGAAACAGCAGUACCGGCCAACCCUGAUCUUCUGAGAAGGGCUUGAGCAAAAGCAUGGUUGAUAGGACCCGAAAGAUGGUGAACUAUACUUGAGUAGGGUGAAGCCAGGGGAAACUCUGGUGGAAGCUCGCAGCGGUACUGACGUGCAAAUCGUUCGUCAAACUUGAGUAUAGGGGCGAUAGACUAAUCGAACCAUCUAGUAGCUGGUUCCCUCUGAAGUUUCUCUCAGGAUAGCUGGAACAAAGGCAGUUUUAUCAGGUAAAGCGAAUGACUAAAGGACUCGGGGAUCCUAGAUCCUUGGCCUAUUCUCAAACUUUAAAUUGGUAAGAUUUAUGGUUUUCUUAAUUGAACCAUAAAACUAAAUGCUUGUUCUUAGUGGGCCAUUUUUGGUAAGCAGAACUGGCGAUGAGGGAUGAACCUAACGCUAGGCUAAGGCGCCUAAGUUCCCGUUCAUCAGAAACCACAAAAGGCGUUGAUUCAUUUAGACAGCAGGACGGUGGCCAUGGAAGUCGGAACCCGCUAAGGAGUGUGUAACAACUCACCUGCCGAAUGAAUUAGCCCUGAAAAUGGAUGGCGCUGAAACGGGGAGCCGAUACCUAGCCAUCAGGACAAGAAGAGUCUUGAUGAGUAAGAGGGCGUGGGGGUCGUGUAGAAGUUGUUGAUGUGAAUCUCAAUGGAACGGCUUCCAGUGCAGAUCUUGGUGGUAGUAGCAAAUAUUCAAAUGAGAACUUUGAAGGCCGAAGUGGAGAAGGGUUCCGUGAGAACAGCAUUUGGUCACGGGUUAUUCGAUCCUAAGGCACCGGGAAGCUCCAUUCAAAGAGUAAUUUACUCGAUGCCGAAAGGGAGUGCGGUUAACAUUCCGCAAACUGGACGUGGAUAAGGUGUGGUAACACGAACGAACUCGGAGACGCCGGUCCGAACCCCUGGAAGAGUUGUCUUUUCUUCUUAACGAGUCAUCGCCUUGGAAGUGGAUUAUCCAGAGCUAAGGCUUAACACUCGGCAGAGCAACACAUUAACAGUGUUGUCGGGAGCGUCCGGAACGGCCCUUGAAAAUCCGAGGGAGAGAUUUAUUGCACGCCAGGUCGUACCAACAACCGCAUCA
rnacentral:rRNA from 1 species